rnacentral:rRNA from 2 species
AUGUUUGAUGUUCUAACGUGGAUCCGUAAUCCGGGUUGCGGACAGUGUCUGGUGGGUAGUUUGACUGGGGCGGUCUCCUCCUAAAGAGUAACGGAGGAGCACGAAGGUUGGCUAAUCCUGGUCGGACAUCAGGAGGUUAGUGCAAUGGCAUAAGCCAGCUUGACUGCGAGCGUGACGGCGCGAGCAGGUGCGAAAGCAGGUCAUAGUGAUCCGGUGGUUCUGAAUGGAAGGGCCAUCGCUCAACGGAUAAAAGGUACUCCGGGGAUAACAGGCUGAUACCGCCCAAGAGUUCAUAUCGACGGCGGUGUUUGGCACCUCGAUGUCGGCUCAUCACAUCCUGGGGCUGAAGUAGGUCCCAAGGGUAUGGCUGUUCGCCAUUUAAAGUGGUACGCGAGCUGGGUUUAGAACGUCGUGAGACAGUUCGGUCCCUAUCUGCCGUGGGCGCUGGAGAACUGAGGGGGGCUGCUCCUAGUACGAGAGGACCGGAGUGGACGCAUCACUGGUGUUCGGGUUGUCAUGCCAAUGGCACUGCCCGGUAGCUAAAUGCGGAAGAGAUAAGUGCUGAAAGCAUCUAAGCACGAAACUUGCCCCGA